AUGGGUUUGAGAGAGGUGUGGAAUUUGCCGGAUGAAGACAUUUUAAACUGUUCGGGGCCGGACUGGUUUCUUAUUUUAUUGGAUCAGUUAAGUUCGCCUAUGCGUAAGCAAACAAUUUUCAUGUUCUGGAGAGCUUGGCAUUUGAGAAAUGACUUGAUUUUUGGUAAAGGAAAGAAAUCUAUCUCGGCCUCAGUGAGUUUUAUUCAAAAUUAUUGGGCUUCAUUCUCAUCUUGUCAUGCAAAAACAAAGGGAGAGGUAAGUAACAAAGGUAAGGAUGUGAUUGAUGGUUUACAACCCAUUAGUAAUGUGGAGAGGAUUUGA
rnacentral:rRNA from 1 species